ACUAUUUUCAAAUGGCUGUUUUCAAUGUUUAUUAACAAAUAUGUCUGAAAUUAAGAAUUUUAAAAAUAAUCUAGUAAUCAUAAAUGACUGGUCAUGGAGCCUGAGAUAAUUGCUGUAAAUGCAAGAAAUUACAAAAACACGUGCCACAGUGUCUGAUUUAAAAUUUAUAUAGGCUUAAAUAUAUGUAAUUACAUAUUAUUGAUUAGCUUUCUGAUUUAAUUUUCAUAAUUACAGUGGCAACAUCAAGUUAUAUUCCAACUUCAGUCACUGGAUGUCGCCAUUAGUCCAGGCCGAAUAAUUUGACGUUCUUACCAAAGAUAUAAAAUCUUAGUAUUAUUUAGUAGGAGGUAAUAUAGUUUUCAUAAUGCGCGCGAGUCGGUUUGCUUCAAAGCACAUUUAAGCGCUCGCUCGCGCUCAUUAGUAAACUGACCGUUACAAAAUCAAACCGCUCGCCUGAACUCGGUCAAAUUACUUUUUAAACACCUUUCUCUCAAAAAAACAAGUAUAAAGCAGAAUGGAUGCAGAUGAUGCAAGUCGACCAAUCACUUAGUCUGCAGUAUAUGAACAGUGUCUGUCAACCAGAGCAGCAGUGCCCAGUUUAUCCCCUGCCAGCAGAGAUCUGAAACCUUAACUUCCAGGCC
ensembl:lncRNA